CAGAUGUACUCAAUCGUCCCUGUGUGAAGACUUGUGUGAGUCCCUGGUAACAAACAAGGGUCAAAGAUGUUGAAGCUGCAAUUCCUCAUCCUCCUUGUCGUCGUCACUGCCGUCGCCGUUGCACAGCAUAACUUCGGUAGUCGUUAUCAAGGUAACUCCGCUAGUCGUAACCAAGUAUACAACGGAAAUCGUUAUCAAGGAAGCUACGGUCAAGCAAACCCUAGUUACCAGGGAAACUACGGCGUUCGUUAUCAGGCAAACAGCGGUCGCGGUUACCAGGGAAACUCCGGUAAUGCCAACCAGGGAAUCUACGGUAAUACCUACCAGGGAAGCUAUGGUAGUAGUUCCUAUGGUAACAGGUACCAGUUGAUGUACAGCGACUACGACACCCCCGAUCAUCUCGAUUUCGACACACCCGACUACGGAAACAGAUAUGGGUACUACAGCUAAGGCUUUCGGUCUGAAGGUUCUGCAUCCGUGAGUUUGAUGAGUUUUCCCUGACUUCACACAUGAGGACCCAGAUUGACGAGGGGAGAGGACCGCGAUACAGCCAGCUAGUUCCCGUGAUACAGUAUACAAGCCUGUAACUUGGAAAUAAAAUACAAAAUGUA
rnacentral:lncRNA from 1 species